AUGAGGAUGUGGAGAGCUUGGUGGGUGGUCGUGUACUUCUUUGGAGCAAGAGCUGAAAUCACCCAAACCUCAAGUCUUGUGCUGAAAGAAGAUGAGAAAGCUACUCUGACAUGCAGUCAAAAUGAUAACCACGAUAAUAUGUACUGGUACCUGCAGCAGCCAGGGAAGGGGAUGCAGCUGAUCUAUUAUUCCAUUGGUGCAAAUCAGGAACAAGAGGGUGACAUUCCCACUGGAUACAAAGCUAAGCGGUUAAACAUUGCAAAUUUCAAUCUGGAUAUUCUGUCUGUGAAGAAGAACCAUUCAGCUGUCUAUUUCUGUGCCAGCAGUUUGGACACAACACAUCAAAGAAACUUUGUGAUGUUCCUCAUUCAAAGUCUUGUAGUUCUGCCUGACUUUGAUCUAAGCCCUAAGAUGAACGCUGCUCCAGAAAGCAUCCAUGUCUUGAAGACAAAAAAUGUAGUGGGAUGA